AGUGAACGCUGGCGGUAGGCCUAACACAUGCAAGUCGAACGGCAGCACAGUAAGAGCUUGCUCUUACGGGUGGCGAGUGGCGGACGGGUGAGGAAUACAUCGGAAUCUACUUUUUCGUGGGGGAUAACGUAGGGAAACUUACGCUAAUACCGCAUACGACCUACGGGUGAAAGCAGGGGAUCUUCGGACCUUGCGCGAUUGAAUGAGCCGAUGUCGGGUUAGCUAGUUGGCGGGGUAAAGGCCCACCAAGGCGACGAUCCGUAGCUGGUCUGAGAGGAUGAUCGGCCACACUGGAACUGAGACACGGUCAAGACUCCUACGGGAGGCAGCAGUGGGGAAUAUUGGACAAUGGGCGCAAGCCUGAUCCAGCCAUACCGCGUGGGUGAAGAAGGCCUUCGGGUUGUAAAGCCCUUUUGUUGGGAAAGAAAAGCAGCAGGUUAAUACCACGCUGUUCUGACGGUACCCAAAGAAUAAGCACCGGCUAACUUCGUG
rnacentral:rRNA from 1 species